rnacentral:lncRNA from 1 species
GGGGCGAGUUGGCGGGAAAUUUAACGGGAUUUACCCCUUUUCACAAGUGGUGUGAUUUAUUUAAAAGUGGUGCGAGUUGUUAAACCAGUUUGGGACGAUUUUUUUUAAAGUGUGGCGAUUUGGUGUGGGGCGAAUGCCGUAUGGGGACGUCCUGCUUCCAAUGAUACAAAGUAAGGUACAGUAACAGGUCAAAUCGGCACCUAAUCAAAUAGUCAAAUCGGCACCUAUUCAAAUAGUCAAAUCGACACAUAAAGAAAAAGUCAAAAUG